UCAGCAAUGUGACCGCCUUCUUGACUUAUUAUAGAGUUAUAGAUGUAAUCUAUUGGUGUAGCAGAAACUAUGUAAGAAUUCACUGCAUCGUUUUCCUCUUGGAGAAUUUCCAUCUUUUCAAAUACUGACGCUUGCACCACGACAGUAUAACCCUUCUCGCUAUGUCGUUCCACGAGUUUGUCCAACUGAUCUAUAUCAUAGAUUCGACCAUUCACUAAAAUUGCCAAACGAUUUGACACGGGUAAAAGAGUCUCCACACUGAAACAAUCACGAUGAAUUUUAACAAAUAUGAGAACAAACGAAGCAGAAUACUUUAAUACUUUGGACUGACUCCAGAUCUGCUUAAAUGAUUAUGUAAACAGCUUCGUCCACUAUUGUGAGGCUUUCAAAAAGAUCUUCAUUAUCGAACGAGGGGUGUUUUCGCGAUAAAAGGAAUUCCCUAAUUUUUAUGUCAUUGACCACACCCCAUUUUUUUCCACUUGACUGUUGCCAUAAGCUUUUAUUGGCUUUGAAGCUCGAUUGGUCUUAAUAAAAAUUUUACCUUAAAAAUUCGGCCCUGAAGUGCGCGGGGUAGGGCGAGGGUUACAUGCAACUAAGAGGCUAAGCAAAAUAUAAGUCGACAUUGAAGGUGGGGGGUGUUGCAUUACGGUAUGUGACAAUGCUGGAGAUGCGUACCUACAUAUAUGAAAUAAGAUUUUUUCUUCGCCGGUGAAUGAAUUUUGUGUGUGUACUCAAUAUGCCUCUACAGGGAAAACACAUCCGUAUUGUCCGUUAUUAUCUUUAGGACAUGUCUGUCUCGGAAAGUACCAAAUAGAUGGUAGUUAAAGGCCAUCAUGCGAUACGAAGGGUUUAAAGUUACCUGCUCGAGGAUAUGAUAAUAGAAUGCCCCCGUUGUCGCAGGUUAUUUAAUAUAUGGUACAUCGCUCGUCUUACGGAGUACUUUUGGUACUCUGUACUCUCCUCCAGUAUCACAACUUCAGGGGCACCGAUUACGGCCGCCGCGAAGUGCAAACGCGCCACGUCUUUAGCUUUUAAAUAGCAAAUUUGUCUGUCGGCUUGGUGGUAAAGUUCUGUUGAAAGUAUUAACAUACCUUAUUAAAUAGGAAACAGGGUUUUCAAAUUGCAAUGACGCAGAUAAGAUUAUUUUGCAACUCACGUUACGUAAAAAAAUAUUAUCAAUAGAAAUCCUAUUAGAAGAAAAUAAUCGUCUAAAUAAAAAGAAUACUUAUAUCUAACUCAAACAGGUCUUAAUGAGAUCUAAGACUUUCGCGAGUCUUUUAAAUAAAACUAAUACCUUUUCGUAAUUACUAUGCGAAUUUUUACGGUUUUUACGGUUACUUUUCAGCAACCGUGAUCACAGUUUCUGAAAAGUAACCGUAAAAGGUCACGUAACGUCCGGAUUAUGUGUUUAAAAUAAUACAAAUUUGCGUAGGAAAUCCGAAGAGGUAUUAGUUUUAUUCAAACUUAAUAGAUUUUAAAAUUUUCAAGAUAUUUUUUUUUAAAGAUUUACUUCAAUUCAACAAUCAUCCUUACAUAUGCGUUAAUACACAAAGUAUUGUAAGACUUGACGCUUAGGUAAAUUGAAUUUCACUGAAAUAAUACGUUUGUUGCAAUGAUUGUAUCGGGACAUUUGGUAGGUAGAUGAUACCCAUAGCGUUGACGUAAUCCAUGACCAGAUCCAAAGCCUGGCUUCGUGGGACGCCGCGCAGUACGGCGAGCAUCUCGAGACCGUUCCUCACACUCAUCCAGCCCGGAAGAGGAUUAUGUUCGCAGCUCAAUGACGUCUGCUGACUGAACUGGGUUGUGCAAAUAACAGAAGUAUUAUUCAUCAAUGAAGUAAUACAAAUUACAAUCAGAAUGGCUCGGAUAUAUCUUCAUAAAUAUAAAAGUUUUGAUAACUGUAAAGUAUUGAAAAUGGUCUAAAACUUAGACGUUUUGAUAAAUAUUCAAAUUUUAUUUACUAAAUGAGGAUUUCGAAGAAGAGUCCAUUUUGAUAAGCACCAUAACUGUCCGUCUGUCGGUAAUUGGAACCCUGCAAAAUAUCAAUAUUAAAACUUGCAAUUAUUCUUAAUUUUACUUUAAGUUAUUCUUAAUUUAAAUUAAUACUAAUGAUCUACACCCACCAGCCAAUAUUUCACACAGCCGCAGUCUUCCAUGUUCCAAGACACCCGAAAUAGCCAACACCUCACCUUUGCUCAAACUGAGAUACACAUUUCGGAUUAUAGAUUUCUCGUAGUGUCGUUGGGAUAUAUUAUGUGCAAGUAAAUAUGUUUCAACUUGUUUCUUAUUUUUGGCUGAAACAAAUUAAGUAUUAAGUGUUUGAAAUAAUUGAACAGAAACAAAUCUAAAGUAAAUGACUUACGAAUUUUCUUUUUCAA